UACGGGGGGGGUAAGCGUUGUUCGGAAUUACUGGGCGUAAAGGGCUCGUAGGCGGCCAACUAAGUCAGACGUGAAAUCCCUCAGCUUAACUGGGGAACUGCGUCUGAUACUGGAUGGCUUGGAUUCGGGAGAGGGAUGCGGAAUUCCAGGUGUAGCGGUGAAAUGCGUAGAUAUCAGGAGGAACACCGGUGGCGAAGGCGGGUCUCUGGGCAACAACUGACGCUGAGGAGCGAAAGCGUGGGGAGCGAACAGG
rnacentral:rRNA from 1 species